rnacentral:rRNA from 1 species
UACAGAGGGUGCAAGCGUUAAUCGGAAUUACUGGGCGUAAAGCGCGCGUAGGUGGUUUGUUAAGUUGGAUGUGAAAUCCCCGGGCUCAACCUGGGAACUGCAUUCAAAACUGACAAGCUAGAGUAUGGUAGAGGGUGGUGGAAUUUCCUGUGUAGCGGUGAAAUGCGUAGAUAUAGGAAGGAACACCAGUGGCGAAGGUGACCACCUGGACUGAUACUGACACUGAGGUGCGAAAGCGUGGGGAGCAAACAGG